rnacentral:rRNA from 1 species
UGGGGAAUAUUGGACAAUGGACCAAGAGUCUGAUCCAGCAAUUCUGUGUGCACGAUGAAGUUUUUCGGAAUGUAAAGUGCUUUCAGUUGGGAAGAAAGAAAUGACGGUACCAACAGAAGAAGUGACGGCUAAAUACGUGCCAGCAGCCGCGGUAAUACGUAUGUCACGAGCGUUAUCCGGAUUUAUUGGGCGUAAAGCGCGUCUAGGUGGUUAUGUAAGUCUGAUGUGAAAAUGCAGGGCUCAACUCUGUAUUGCGUUGGAAACUGUAUAACUAGAGUACUGGAGAGGUAAGCGGAACUACAAGUGUAGAGGUGAAAUUCGUAGAUAUUUGUAGGAAUGCCGAUGGGGAAGCCAGCUUACUGGACAGAUACUGACGCUGAAGCGCGAAAGCGUGGGUAGCAAACAGGAUUAGAUACCCUGGUAGUCCAUGCCGUAAACGAUGAUUACUAGGUGUUGGGGGUCGAACCUCAGCGCCCAAGCAAACGCGAUAAGUAAUCCGCCUGGGGAGUACGUACGCAAGUAUG